CUCCAAUCUCAUCCAUGUUGUUGCAAAUAACGGGAACUUGUUCUUUUUAUGACUAAAUAGUACUCCCUUUUGUAUAUGUACCACAUUUUCUUUGUCCAUUCAUCUUUUGAU